AGAGUUUGAUCCUGGCUCAGGACGAACGCUGGCGGCGUGCCUAAUACAUGCAAGUAGAACGCUGAAGAGAGGAGCUUGCUCUUCUUGGAUGAGUUGCGAACGGGUGAGUAACGCGUAGGUAACCUGCCUUGUAGCGGGGGAUAACUAUUGGAAACGAUAGCUAAUACCGCAUAACAAUGGAUGACACAUGUCAUUUAUUUGAAAGGGGCAAUUGUUCCACUACAAGAUGGACCUGCGUUGUAUUAGCUAGUAGGUGAGGUAAUGGCUCACCUAGGCGACGAUACAUAGCCGACCUGAGAGGGUGAUCGGCCACACUGGGACUGAGACACGGCCCAGACUCCUACGGGAGGCAGCAGUAGGGAAUCUUCGGCAAUGGGGGCAACCCUGACCGAGCAACGCCGCGUGAGUGAAGAAGGUUUUCGGAUCGUAAAGCUCUGUUGUAAGUCAAGAACGGGUGUGAGAGUGGAAAGUUCACACUGUGACGGUAGCUUACCAGAAAGGGACGGCUAACUACGUGCCAGCAGCCGCGGUAAUACGUAGGUCCCGAGCGUUGUCCGGAUUUAUUGGGCGUAAAGCGAGCGCAGGCGGUUUGAUAAGUCUGAAGUUAAAGGCUGUGGCUCAACCAUAGUUCGCUUUGGAAACUGUCAAACUUGAGUGCAGAAGGGGAGAGUGGAAUUCCAUGUGUAGCGGUGAAAUGCGUAGAUAUAUGGAGGAACACCGGUGGCGAAAGCGGCUCUCUGGUCUGUAACUGACGCUGAGGCUCGAAAGCGUGGGGAGCGAACAGGAUUAGAUACCCUGGUAGUCCACGCCGUAAACGAUGAGUGCUAGGUGUUGGAUCCUUUCCGGGAUUCAGUGCCGCAGCUAACGCAUUAAGCACUCCGCCUGGGGAGUACGACCGCAAGGUUGAAACUCAAAGGAAUUGACGGGGGCCCGCACAAGCGGUGGAGCAUGUGGUUUAAUUCGAAGCAACGCGAAGAACCUUACCAGGUCUUGACAUCCCGAUGCUAUUUCUAGAGAUAGAAAGUUACUUCGGUACAUCGGUGACAGGUGGUGCAUGGUUGUCGUCAGCUCGUGUCGUGAGAUGUUGGGUUAAGUCCCGCAACGAGCGCAACCCCUAUUGUUAGUUGCCAUCAUUCAGUUGGGCACUCUAGCGAGACUGCCGGUAAUAAACCGGAGGAAGGUGGGGAUGACGUCAAAUCAUCAUGCCCCUUAUGACCUGGGCUACACACGUGCUACAAUGGUUGGUACAACGAGUUGCGAGUCGGUGACGGCGAGCUAAUCUCUUAAAGCCAAUCUCAGUUCGGAUUGUAGGCUGCAACUCGCCUACAUGAAGUCGGAAUCGCUAGUAAUCGCGGAUCAGCACGCCGCGGUGAAUACGUUCCCGGGCCUUGUACACACCGCCCGUCACACCACGAGAGUUUGUAACACCCGAAGUCGGUGAGGUAACC
rnacentral:rRNA from 1 species